rnacentral:lncRNA from 1 species
AUGUCUCCGUGCGUUUCCUGGAAUAGUCUGGGAUUUCUCUCCCACCCGGCCCCUCCGCUCCCUUCUGGAGCGCUGCGAGUGCUCUCGCCGCAUGACGCGGUCUGGGAAUUUCAUAAUACGCCUCGGGACAAUGCCUGGUUUUCAGGAAGGCUUGAAACCGAACCAGUGGACGAGAACAAAGUGCAGAACGAGCCUCGUGGGGCCCCUUUUCCUCCACCCGUCUUGGGCAUGUUCCCCUUACCCGCUCCCUGGGGGCUGCUGUUCCCAGCUGGAGCGGGACCACCUGUCUCCUUGUCCCCUGCCCCCGAGCGGGGAAGCUGGCCGGAGAGGAGAGGGGCUCUCCGGUCCCCCCGGCGGGGUUUGGGCAGGACUGGCGCUGUUCCCUGGAGGGAUUCUCUGCAGGACCACCCUGUAGCUAGCCCAGACGUAGAGAUGGUCACUCCUAGGCUAUCGCUGACUUUCAAACAGCUAUUCUCAAACUACAGCGCCGAGAGGCGAAAGCCUGUUCAUAAAAAUCAACCGACUGCGAAACGGAGCAAGCUUUCUCCAGGCGCCGAUGCGAAUCGGCGCGGUGCUGUCCGGCUGAUGCCUGCGGGAUCGCAGCGCGGGCGGUGGGAAGUGCCACAAGGACUGGGUUCCUCCGGUGCCCCUUUCGGAGCCCUCCGAGAGCAUUUGAGCAGCGCCGAAGCAUGCCCAGGCGGCAGCGAGAGCCCUUCGGUCCCUCCAAAGCCUCUCCCGGCAGUGUUGCUUCCCUGUUGUGAAUCAACAGCGAAAGGAUGCUUACAAACCGUUCGGAAAACUUGUCAGGGCUUAUUAAACUGCUGCGUUCUCCCUCUUAGCCUAAUGGGGGACUUGGAGACUGCGAGGAGAGGGGAAAGGGAAGAAAUCCACCCCAAGGCGGCUGAAAUUCCUGCCAGACUUCCACGACUGCGGCGGGGCAGCUCGGCCGCGUGCGCUCCUUCCCCUCCGCCUCCCCAUCGACCCGCUCCGACAGCCCCCGGGAAGUGCUGCAGCAGCAGCAGCAGCAGCGUGCGGGUGAAGGGAGAGGAGCUUUGA